rnacentral:tRNA from 1 species
GGGCCUAUGGUUCAACGGCAGAAUAGAGCAUUCGCAUUGCUCAGAUCCGGGUUCAAUUCCCGGUGGGUCCA